UACGAAGGGGGCUAGCGUUGCUCGGAAUCACUGGGCGUAAAGGGCGCGUAGGCGGCCAUUCAAGUCAGAGGUGAAAGCCCAAGGCUCAACCUUGGAACUGCCUUUGAUACUGUUUGGCUUGAGACCGGUAGAGGUAAGUGGAACUGCGAGUGUAGAGGUGAAAUUCGUAGAUAUUCGCAAGAACACCAGUGGCGAAGGCGGCUUACUGGACCGGUUCUGACGCUGAGGCGCGAAAAGCGUGGGGAGCAAACAGG
rnacentral:rRNA from 1 species